rnacentral:rRNA from 1 species
ACCCGCUGAACUUAAGCAUAUCAAUAAGCGGAGGAAAAGAAACCAACCGGGAUUGCCUCAGUAACGGCGAGUGAAGCGGCAAGAGCUCAAAUUUGAAAGCUGGCUCCUUCGGAGUCCGCAUUGUAAUUUGCAGAGGAUGCUUUGGGUGCGGCCCCCGUCUAAGUGCCCUGGAACGGGCCGUCAGAGAGGGUGAGAAUCCCGUCUUGGGCGGGGUGUCCGUGCCCGUGUAAAGCUCCUUCGACGAGUCGAGUUGUUUGGGAAUGCAGCUCUAAAUGGGUGGUAAAUUUCAUCUAAAGCUAAAUACUGGCCGGAGACCGAUAGCGCACAAGUAGAGUGAUCGAAAGAUGAAAAGCACUUUGAAAAGAGAGUUAAACAGCACGUGAAAUUGUUGAAAGGGAAGCGCUUGCGACCAGACUCGCCCGCGGGGUUCAGCCGGCAUUCGUGCCGGUGUACUUCCCCGUGGGCGGGCCAGCGUCGGUUUGGGCGGCCGGUCAAAGGCCCCUGGAAUGUAGUGCCCUCCGGGGCACCUUAUAGCCAGGGGUGCAAUGCGGCCAGCCUGGACCGAGGAACGCGCUUCGGCACGGACGCUGGCAUAAUGGUCGUAAACGACC